UAAUGAAAUAAUUUUCUAAGAACAUUAAUUAUUAUAUUUCUGUGGAAACCAAACUAACAGAGUGACAGGCAGGCAACUAAAUCCUGAGCCAUAGCAAAAUAACAUUAAGUAAAGCAAUUAAGCAAGCUACAUAAUAUUCAUACAACACAUCGCAAUCUUUUUCAUUUUUUUUUUAUAGAAGGUUGUUGUCCAACUACAAAUCCACCCAAAUUGACACAACAAUUGGGG